rnacentral:rRNA from 1 species
AUUGAACGCUGGCGGCAGGCCUAACACAUGCAAGUCGAGCGAGCGGCGGACGGGUGAGUAAUGUCUGGGAAACUGCCUGAUGGAGGGGGAUAACUACUGGAAACGGUAGCUAUACCGCAUACCCUCAGAUUUGCCCAGAUAGGAUUAGCUAGUAGGUGGGGUAACGGCUCACCUAGGCGACGAUCCCUAGCUGGUCUUGGAGGAUGACCAGCCAAACUGGAACUGUGACACGGUCCAGACUCCUACGGGAGGCAGCAGUGGGGAAUAUUGCACAAGGGGCGCAAGCCUGAUGCAGCCAUGCCGCGUGUAUGAAGAAGGCCUUCGGGUUGUAAAGUACUUUCAGCGGGGAGGCGUUACCCGCAGAAGAAGCACCGGCUAACUCCGUGCCAGCCGCCGCGGUAAUAC